rnacentral:rRNA from 1 species
CCUACGGGCGGCUGCAGUGGGGAAUAUUGCACAAUGGGCGCAAGCCUGAUGCAGCCAUGCCGCGUGUGUGAAGAAGGCCUUCGGGUUGUAAAGCACUUUCAGCGGGGAGGAAGGCGUUAAGGUUAAUAACCUUGUCGAUUGACGUUACCCGCAGAAGAAGCACCGGCUAACUCCGUGCCAGCAGCCGCGGUAAUACGGAGGGUGCAAGCGUUAAUCGGAAUUACUGGGCGUAAAGCGCACGCAGGCGGUCUGUCAAGUCGGAUGUGAAAUCCCCGGGCUCAACCUGGGAACUGCAUUCGAAACUGGCAGGCUAGAGUCUUGUAGAGGGGGGUAGAAUUCCAGGUGUAGCGGUGAAAUGCGUAGAGAUCUGGAGGAAUACCGGUGGCGAAGGCGGCCCCCUGGACAAAAACUGACGCUCAGGUGCGAAAGCGUGGGGAGCAAACAGGAUUAGAUACCCGUGUAGUC